rnacentral:snoRNA from 1 species
CUGAUGAUGACAAUAUUCCUCUCUAUUCUGAUGAACUCAUGACGUCAUCUUCCAUGCACCACCGUCUGAUG